UAUGAGGAUGUAUCGGACAUCGAGUCAUGUAAUGAAUGAGUCCUCUGUGUCUCCUUAGGCUGUGGCUGAUCAGCUGGAACCUUAUGUGGAAUAUUUCUUUUUGCCCAUUGCCCUGGAUCCACCAUGAUCUCCCUAGCUUACACUGGUUGAUCAUGGAGGAGACCCUGCUUAUCAAGCUCUGGCUUCUGUAGCUGACUUGCAAGCCAUCCAAUGAUCAGAUCGUCAUCUCCGUUAGCAUAAUUAUCUAGUGUCAGAUCAGUGUACUUCAGUUGUACUUUCUCCUGAACGUAUUUUAGCCUCAACCUCAUAUUAUAGUGAACAUAUACAAGAUCAUUGAGGUACUUUUGUGUCAGAUGAUUUCUCUGUUUGCUGUGGAUAAGGAUGAAAGUUGACCAAUUGCGCUCACAGCCACUAGCAGAGAUCGUCUGGGAAAGAAUGCGGAU
rnacentral:lncRNA from 1 species